GACGAACGCUGGCGGCGUGCUUAACACAUGCAAGUCGAACGAUUAAAGAGGAGCUUGCUCCUCUUGAUUAGUGGCGAACGGGUGUGUAACACGUGAGCAUUCUUCCCCUUACUCCGGAAUAACUACGCGAAACUGUAGCUAAUACCUGAUAUGCGCCGAACAAGCAUCUGUAUCUGUGGGAAAGAAUUUCGGUCCUGGAUGUGCUGGCGGCGUAUCAGCUUGUUUGUGAGGUAACGGCUCACCAAGUCGACGACGGCUAGCCUGCAUGGGAGCGGUGACAGGGACAAUAGGACUGAGACAGGGAGCAGACGCGAACGGGAGGCAGUAGGGGGAAAUAUUGCACAGUGGGGGCAAGUGUGAGGCAGAAACGUUGGGUGAGGAAUGACGGCUUACGGGUGGUAAACCUCUGUUAGCAGGGAAGAAGCGAAAGUGACGGUACCUGCAGAAAAAGCGCCGGCUAACUACGUG
rnacentral:rRNA from 1 species